rnacentral:rRNA from 1 species
UACGGAGGGAACUAGCGUUGUUCGGAUUUACUGGGCGUAAAGAGCGCGUAGGCGGUUUAUUAAGUUAGAAGUGAAAGCCCAGGGCUUAACCCUGGAACUGCUUCUAAAACUGAUAGGCUAGAGUACGGGAGAGGAUAGUGGAAUUCCUAGUGUAGAGGUGAAAUUCUUAGAUAUUAGGAGGAACACCGGUGGCGAAAGCGACUAUCUGGAACGUUACUGACGCUGAGGCGCGAAAGCGUGGGGAGCAAACAGG